rnacentral:rRNA from 1 species
CCUACGGGAUGCAGCAGUGGGGAAUAUUGGACAAUGGGCGAAAGCCUGAUGCAGCCAUGCCGCGUGUGUGAAGAAGGCCUUCGGGUUGUAAAGCACUUUCAGUAGGGAGGAAGGUAGUGUAGUUAACACCUGCAUUAUUUGACGUUACCUACAGAAGAAGCACCGGCUAACUCCGUGCCAGCAGCCGCGGUAAUACGGAGGGUGCGAGCGUUAAUCGGAAUUACUGGGCGUAAAGCGCAUGCAGGCGGCCUGUUAAGUCAGAUGUGAAAGCCCGGGGCUUAACCUCGGAAUUGCAUUUGAAACUGGCAGGCUAGAGUCUUGUAGAGGGGGGUAGAAUUUCAGGUGUAGCGGUGAAAUGCGUAGAGAUCUGAAGGAAUACCAGUGGCGAAGGCGGCCCCCUGGACAAAGACUGACGCUCAGAUGCGAAAGCGUGGGGAGCAAACAGGAUUAGAUACCCCAGUAG